rnacentral:tRNA from 1 species
GGCGAUGUGGCGGAAUUGGCAGACGCGCUUGACUCAAAAUCAAGUGUCCUCUGGACGUGUGGGUUCGAGUCCCACCAUCGCUA